GGGAGAUUAGUUAAGUGG
rnacentral:misc_RNA from 1 species